rnacentral:rRNA from 1 species
CCCGCACAAGCGGUGGAGCAUGUGGUUAAUUCGACGCAACGCGAAGAACCUUACCAGGGCUUGACAUCCCCUGACCGCGUAUGAAAGUACGUUUUCACCCUCGGGUAACAGGGAGACAGGUGGUGCAUGGUGUCGUCAGCUCGUGUCGUGAGAUGUUGGGUUAAGUCCCGCAACGAGCGCAACCCUUAUUGCUAGUUACCAUCAUUGAGUUGGGGACUCUAGCGAGACUGCCAGCGAUAAGCUGGAGGAAGGUGGGGAUGACGUCAAAUCAUCAUGCCCCUUAUGACCUGGGCUACAAACGUGAUACAAUGGCUGGAACAAAGGGAGGCGAAGGGGUGACCUGGAGCGAAACCCAAAAAUACAGUCUCAGUUCGGAUUGAAGUCUGCAACUCGACUUCAUGAAGUCGGAAUCGCUAGUAAUCGCGGAUCAGAACGCCGCGGUGAAUACGUUCUCGGGGUUU